CCCUUAGAUGUUCUGGGCCGCACGCGUGUUACACUGAUGCGUUCAUCAAGCUGUCCUGCCCCGGUAGGGGUCGGGUAAUCUUGAAAGCGCAUCGUGCUGGGGAUAGAUUAUUGUAAUUUUUAAUCUUCAACGAGGAAUUUCUAGUAAACGUGAGUCAUCAACUCGCAUUGAUUACGUCCCUGUCCUUUGUACACACCGCCCGUCGCUACUACCGAUUGAAUCAUUUGGUGAGGUCCACGGACUGUUGUACGCCUUGGCUUGCCAAGACGUACUUCUUGGGAAGUGGCACGAACCUGAUGAUUUAGAGGAAGUAAAANUCGUANCA
rnacentral:rRNA from 1 species